rnacentral:SRP_RNA from 1 species
CGGUGGGUCUCAGGCGGGGGGAUAGGGGUCCCCUGAACCGUAAACCCCCUAUAUGACGGGCUAACAGCUGGGGCUGAGGCGUCAAAGGCCGUUAAGACCCUUAUUUCCGAAACAGUGAAUAUCCGUCCCUUGGAGCUGGCGGUCGCUGAGCAGCUUCCGUAGGGAAGCUGUCUUCAGCGUUUACCAGGCGAACCUGGCUAGGCUCGGGAGAGAGCAACCUAAGCUUGGACGUUUAGCGCUCAAGGGGUUGCGGAUACGAGCGUAGGGGUCAGGGGUCUUCGCGGAGUCUGGGCGUCGAACCCCAGUGACCCACCG